rnacentral:tRNA from 1 species
AGCCCCUUAGUUUAAGCUUAAAACAAUAAUUUUGUAAAUUAUAUAUAAAUAAAAAAUUUAGGGGCAU